rnacentral:lncRNA from 10 species
GUUUAUCAUUGGCCCUACAAUUUUCUAGGAGUAAUAUCUUUUUGGAAUUAUGUAAUGUCCUCUGCUAAUGACAGUGUAUAGAUGCUAUUACAUUUCCUUGGGGGACAAAGUACUGUUGUCUGGAAGCUUUGAGAUUAAUGUAACACAAAGUAAAUAAGGAAGCGUUUUGCAUAUUCUUAGAUUUUUACAUUUUUAUUUUAAAACAGAGAAUUUCAUAUUGAUUAACACCUACUACUAAACAGAAUGAUGCAUUAAUUAAAUGCCUUGUCCUAACUGUUAUAAGCUCUGUUAGAAAAAUAAACAUCUCACCACAAACUACAGUGUCAGCUCUUUAAUAAAUACAUAAAACAGAAGUUAGUAGUCAAUCAGAGUUAUAUGAACAGGUUCAUAGUAUAUUAUGUGAAAGUAUCAUAUUCUCCAAUAUUCUGUAUCAUUUAAGACAAUUUAAGUUACGUAUAAUUCAAAGCCAGAAAUAAUAAGAAAUAUGUUCAGUGAUAAUUUGCUUCUUUCUUAGAGCUAUUUUAUAUUCAAAUAUUUAAUUUAAAAAUAUAUUCUAUAUUAAAUUUAUUUUUACAAACGCAGUAUUCGUUAGGUGAAACAAAAUAAAAGAAACCUGAUUAAUAGAGUUAGCUUACAAAGAUAAAUUUUAUGCAGAAAAGUAUUCCAGGUAGAUAAAAGAGUAGUGUUAUUACUCUCAGGUUUACAUUAACAGCUGCCCAGAUAGCUGAACAAUUAUUUCAUAUAAUUCAAAUAAUUUAAAUAUGCAGUUUUAUAACAGUCGUUACAUAAGCUUGAAGUUAAAGUGAUCAGAGCCAAGGGGGAAAAACCCACAAAUGAUAAAGAAGAAUAAAAAGUAAGAGGACUCUAGAAGAAAGUUGUUUUUCACAGCACUGAUUGUUUUUAUCAUAUUUUUCUCCUGCCAUUGAUACAAGACAUGUAAGAUGCUGCAAAACCUAACUAUGACAGUUCCAUGUAAUAUUUUUCCAGUUAAUUUUGUUUAAAAGUGAGAUGAUAAUAUAAAAGGAUCUCAUAUAAUAGAAUAAAAAUAAUAAAAAUUUGUUAAUGAAACGUAGACAUACCUACCCAUUCUUGUUAGUUAAGUUAGGGUUUGCUGAAAUCAUUCGCACUCACGUAAAGUAUAAAUGGGGACCUGAAAGAGCUUUUGUAAACUCAAGAUAUGCGGGAUCUGAGCUGAUAAUCAGUUAGGCUCCAUGUUGAGUUGUGCGUGACUCAGUUGUCCUUAAAUUUCGCCUUCAUAUUUUGUCAUAAAUGGGCUCUCAAAUCUUUAUAAGAAAACAAAAUUUGCCUAGAUGCAUAAACAUUUAGGUAAAGUUGGAUUAGUGUAAUAUUUAUUCAAGCAUAAUUUUAAACACUGCAUCUGAAGUGCCAACAGUUGCAAGAAAUGUCACAAUUUCAGAGAUGUUAAAUUGAAAAAGUGAUGUCUUGGAAUCAAUGAAAUAUAAAUAUGGAUAUGUAUAAUCAGUUAUACAUAAAAAUUUGCUAUAGAGGAAUUAUAAAAGAAAAGGAAAAUUAUUUGAAAGAAUGUUAGCUAUAUCUCAGUGGUCUGCAUUGCAUAAAAUGGAGUUCUUGAGGUCAAUAUAAAUAAGGAUAGUUGUAAAUUAAAUAUUGAGUCAACAUAACAGAAUGCAAUCUGCACAUGAUUGAGCUCCCAUGUAACUAUAUUUCACUUGAUACUUUUAUGAAAACAUAUAUAUUCCAAAUCCUUCAAAAUGAAAAGAAGCUCAAACAGUUGUGAAAAUUUAGAAUUCUUAGAUUUUAAUGGGUCUGUCUUUGUUCAGGGGCAAAGACUCAAAUGAGCUUUAAGAUCAAUUAAAGAUGUCUGGAAAUGAAGAACUUCAUUAUACCAUUAAAUUCAGUUAUUUUUCACUAUUAGGCUUAUUAAGCUUGAAGCUUUAGGAAAUCUCUUGGGAAGAGUGAGUGGAAAAAACAGGAGUAAGAAAAGGAAGAAAAAGCCUUUGAGUCUAAUCUACUCUACCAGGUUCCAGGAAGAAUAUAAUUCUACAGAGAAAAUUCUUCAUAAUCUAUCAUAAUAUAUUUCAGUGUCUGAUGGCUGACUCUUGUCUUGCAUAAAGAUAUCUUCAGUGGAUAUUAAGUAAAUAUUAAAAAUAUAUUUCAGAUUCAUUCUUUGAAGGAUUGCAUCUCAUGCAUCCACAAAUUUUAAUGUUGAGUUUUGGAAAAUUGCCUCCAGAGAUAUCUACUGUGUUUAAUCUUAGAUUUUUUUUUUAUUUUAAUAAACCAAAGAUAAACUGAACAUUUAAGACAUAAUCAGAUUUUUAGUGAAUUUUUAAGUCCUCCAGAAAAGUCUAUGACUUAAUAAAUAUUAGCAAGUUUCCAAAAAUAUAACAAAUGUUUAUAAAUACGUGUGCACUGCAGUGCAAUGGUGUCCCCAGAGAAAUAAAAUGCAUAACAAAGCAAAUGUUAUGUUGUAGUGUAUGUAUGGCACAUUUAUAAAUCAUUACAUACUUUAGGGCACAAAAAUGCUGCAGUACUAAAAGUGUUGUUCAAGUUCUCAAUUCUGUUAACAAUUUAAAAUUUCAUUAAUUGUGUUUAAUAUCAAUGAAUCUCAAAAGGCUCCUGUGGCCAUAUUAGUUGAAAAUAGACUCUAUUUGCAUACAUUAUUUAACCUAAGAGUACCCUGUGUUCCCUUACCAUUUAAUUAAUUCUAACUAGUCAAAUAUUAAUUCUCAUCUCACAAAUCAUUACACAGGAAGAUAUCAAUUAUUCAAGUAAAAUACAAGCCCUACAAUCUUUAAAAAUUAGCUUUUUAAGUAAAAACAAAAAAGAUAAGCACAAGACUUUGCAAGCAUAACCACAAUCAUCGUCUAACACUGAGUUGCCUACAAGGAAGUUUGUCCCUUCCUAUGGUAACAGCCUUGGUCCACUAUAAAGUUAGUGCAAACAAGUGAGGGUAUAAAAAAAAUAUAAACUCUGGAUUUUUAAGGAUUUCAUUUUGUUAUACUCUUUUUGGAUAAUUCAUUCCAUACGGAAAUUUGUUUAUUGUUCAUAAAUAUCAUAAUGUUCAUUUCAAAAAUUGUCAUCAUCUUAAUGGCUAUCUUACACUUUUUUCUUUUGGAGGGUUGUCAGGCAUCCAUCCAUUUUCCUUUUUAAGAAGAACGUUAUGUGUAUUAGGCUACUAAACCCAAUUUUUACAUUAUUUUUAGUGAUCAAAGGUUUCUUAUACAAGUGACUCACAGUACUGAAUUAUGUCAAUCUCUCAUUUGAGGAAGGAAAUGCAGUUCAAGUUAGCAUUGAAAGUGCUUGGCUGUAGAGGACAUCUAACAGAGCUGCUGUGUUUAUUGGCUCCAGAACAACUUAUUAUAGGUUUUUCAGUUCUCUUUAGGGUAGAAUAUGAGAUGGGGUUAGUCUUCAUCAAAAUGCAGUAUCUAGUACUUUAACUCAAGUGCUGGAAGACAGCAAAUCUUGGAAGUUUAUUAUAAAAAAAAAGAUAUUUCGGAUAGAUUCCUUUGUUGUCAUGGGCAAAACUGUAUAUCCACACAGGACUGUUAGACUCCUAGCCAAUAAAAUCAGACUAAGUCCAUAGGGAUAAGGUAAGUGUAAAUAAAUUUCCAUUGGGGAAGACAGGGCUCAUGGCCCGUGUAUCAAGGUCUCAAGCUGAGCACUGGAGAACUCCAGGGAACACUGUUCAUACAGGCUAUGGUGCGAAGGAAUUCCCCUGUAGGUAUGCCAUACUUCAGUCUCUUAAGAAGCUGAUUAGCAUGAAAGACUGGAAGCUGAUUAUGGACAAUUCAGUUUGAAUUAUUCCUUUCUAUUUUGCUUUGAACUUUCCUCAUACACUUAAGACAUGAGUAAAUCACAUUGAAAAACAUUUGCCAAUUGAAUAUUUUAAAGAUUCAAGAGGUAGCAUGAUAUUGUGCAAUGAACACUGGCCUGACAAUGAGAAGAUAAAAACUCCUUUCCAAUGUGGCCACUUUAUCACUUGAGUGUUUUCUGAGAAAUCGUUUAAGUUUUCUGAGGCUCAGUUCCCUAACUCACUAAAAAGGAGAAUUAGCAGCCUGGCAUGGUGGCUCAUGCCUGUAAUCCCAACACUCUGGGAGGCCGAGGAGGGUAGAUCACCUGAGGUCAGGAGUUUGAGAUCAACCUGUCCAACAUGGCAAAACCCCGUCUCUACUAAAAAUACAAAAAUUAGCUGGGCACGGUGGUGGAUGCCUGUAAUCCCAGCUACUCAGGAGGCUGAGGCAGGAGAACUGCUUGAACCCGGGAGGCAGAGGUUGCAGUGAACCCUAAUUGCGCCAUUGCACUUCAGCCUGGGUGACAAGAGUGAAACUCCGUCUCAAAAAAAAAAAAAAAAAAAAAAAAAGCUUAUUUCUAAGAUAUCAUCUAUUCUCCAAUUUUGUACUUUUAUGAAUUCUGGCAAGAAGGGUUGGAGUGAUUCUGGGAAAGAACAUCCUUAGGCUGCCUUGAAGGGAGAAGAUAAUAUAGCUUUUCAUUUAAAAAAUGCUGAUAUCUACUUGCAAUCAAAAUCUAAGAAAACAUUCAAAAUGUGGUACUUUGCUUGAGGCAGAAUUUCUAACUAUCUUGUGAAUUAAUGAUAAGAUAAAUGAAAUGGCCAAACAAUCCCUUCAGUUUACCAGGUAAGAGGAUACAAAACUCCACACUUGUGCACAAUGAAGCUAUUCAGGUUUUGAUGAUACUUUACAGUGUCCCCUAUUAACAUUCAGCUUUUAAAACUAGUAUUCUGAUAAAGUGACAUUGUAUUAUUAGUUUUUUAUGGCAGUAGUAACUUAGCACUUAAUUAAUCCAGUCAUCUGUGACAUACAUAAACUUAUCCUGUAAAAAAGA